rnacentral:tRNA from 1 species
GAGGGCACAGCUCAGUGGUAGAGUGCAUGCAUAGCAUGCACAAGGUCCUGGGUUCAAUCCCCAGUACCUCCA